GACGAACGCUGGCGGCGUGCUUAACACAUGCAAGUCGAACGAAGUGGCGAACGGGUGAGUAAUACGCGGGUAACCUGCCCUCCUUUUUGGGUUAAGCCUUGGGAACGGGGUCUAAUACCGAACAAAGGGGGAUGGGCUCGCGGCCUAUCGGCUUGUUGGUGGGGUGCUGGCCUACCAAGGGGGAGCCGGGUAGCCGGCCUGAGAGGGUGACCGGCCACAUUGGGACGGAGAUACGGCCCAGACUCCUACGAGAGGGGGCAGUGGGGGAUAUUGCACAAUGGGCGAAAGACUGAUGCAGCGACGCCGCGGGGGGGAUGAGGGCUUUAGGGUUGUAAAGCUCGAGAGAUAUGGAACGGGUAGGUGGAGAAGAAGCGCCGGCUAACUACGUGCCAGCAGCCGCGGUAAUUC
rnacentral:rRNA from 1 species